GGUUGUGUAGUGUAGUGGUUAUCACUCCGGAUUUUGAUUUCUCGUCAAAAGCUUCCGGCGACCCCGGUUCGAGUAUGUCUCCCUCA